UGUGGGGCCUUGGUGUGGGGGAGGGGGUUGGAGUGCUCACAGUUUCUGAGGAUCCCCUCCUGAGUGGGCGCCCUUUCCCUGAGCCUCUGUCCCUUCCCUUCCAAGUCCUUCUCCUCCCUCAAUUUAGUCUCUUCACCCCUCAGUCCACAGGAGCUGCUGAGAAGGAAGUCCAUUCCUCCUACUCACCCUGUCCACCUAGCUCAGAGUCGUGGGCCACGGUGUGCCCCCUCUCACAUCAGUCCCAGGACAUAGAAAGACACAGAGAAAGACACCACCUCCGACAGGGUCUUGACAUGAUGAUCCAUCCCACUCUCAGCCAGCCCUUGUGACUAAGGGAUGUCUCUGGACAGGAUCCUGGACCUUUCCAUACAGUGCAUUACUGCUGCACCGUGGAGCCAGCCCAGAAGCUGAGAAUCUUGAACCCUCAAGUCCUCUGAGCCUCCCUUUCCGGUGAAAGCAGCUUGUCUUCCAGAGUAUGAGGGACUGGAACUAGCCUUUUGUGCGAAAACCCUGAUACUCUCAGCUAGGCCAGUGCCUAGAAAGAGAAUGCUCAUGCUAUUCAUCCUCCACAAGCAAGCCCCUGUGGAAUCUUUACCCAUGGCUAUCCACGGCUCUCAGCAUGCCCCUGGGUGUGGGGGUUCAGGAACAAAGUCUGCCUUACAGGAACUGGUUACACACUAAAACAAUUGUAGGAAUUCACUAAUGCACACUCAGAAACCUGGGAGUACGCAAGUGAAUGGAGGGAGUUGGGCAUAUUGAUAUGGGCAUACCUAUUAGUCGGAUUUAAGAUGUUAGCACACAUUAACUGAGAAGUGACUCUGAAAAGUGUUCUUGGUUGCAUGAAAUUUGGACUUGAUGGUGUCUACAGUUAAUGACGUUGAGAUGUCAGAACUUCUCUAGCCUAACAUAAAGGAAGUCAUUAUGGGGCCAGAUGGCGGUGCAGCAGUAAUACGUGAUGCUCCGAGGCUGACCCACAUGGGAAUAUUCUGGGUUCCUGCCUGGAGAUGGCCUUGAGUACUCUGGACAUGUGAGUGCCCAUGAUCCGGGGCUGGUUAAGGCUGCGGGUGAAUCACAGAGUCAGGACCUUUUUAGGGGUGCUAGCUCACUCAUGAGGGAAAUUAAAAAA